AGAUUUUCCAAAAUAGGAGCCCCCAAACUUACGCUACUCCACGUGCAUUUAGGCACCUUAACAAAAGUAAAACAUGCUAACAGCAGCCCAGACCUCGCACUGCUGUCAGCCUUUCAUCACCACUCUCUUUGCAUUGUUUAUAACAGUGUGACAGCAAUGCUUUUUUAAAUGCAUUUCAGUACUAAUUUUUGUAAUGAGUUUGGCAUCUCAUGCCAGCUGUAUGAUCAGGUGGAGCACUCUGUCAUUGGAAGAGGGGGUUUUUUCUUAGAGGUGUAGUGAUUGCCCAAGACAUCACUAAGAAGUGGCACAUUUUUCUUCAAAAGACCUGUGCAGCUGGGGUCCGUUCCUUCUUUUUAUUGCUGGGAGCACUCUGUCAUUGGAAGAGGGGGUUUUUUCUUAGAGGUGUAGUGAUUGCCCAAGACAUCACUAAGAAGUGGCACAUUUUUCUUCAAAAGACCUGUGCAGCUGGGGUCCGUUCCUUCUUUUUAUUGCUGGGUCCCUGCCUUUACUUUUCAAUGGGCAAGUGAAGCAGUCCCUUGACUUCACUGGAGCUCCACCUAUAUGGUGCAAAUUCCAGACCGGGGGACUUUUUAAAUUCUCUGUUUCUGUUUAACCUGGUAAAAACAGCUGGUGGGUGUUUUUUUUUCCUGUACUGAUGGAAGGAGAAAGCAAGAAAGAUCACACUGAUAACAGGUAAGAUACAGUGAGAGCUUAAAUACAGAAUCCCACAGCAUUGGCUUUGUCAUUUGCCUGAUAACUGCACUUUAGCCACCUGUAUUAAAAGCCUGAAAGUUUUAAAAUCUAUGCUCUUCGCUUCUAGUACUGAUCCUGAGCUCUUUGCCACAGUGGUACUGUAGAUACAAUUUUUUUUCUUAAUUAAUAGAUUUUCUCAAAUGUACCUUUUUAUAUGGAUGAAAUACGGAAUGGAGCAUUUUGUAUACCAACAUUACACAUGGGGAAUGUUCCCUAUUUUGUUUGAAAGUCAAAUGUAAGAACACAGGGUGGACUCUGUAUCCCUCUCGGCCAAGGAUGUUCAAUCCCGCGAGUCAAGUAAAGGGUUGUAAAUAAGGCCAAUAGAUCCUAGAGCCACAGACACUCUGGCAAAUGCCACAGAUGGUGUUUAAAGGGAGGGUCAGACAACAGAACCUCCCUUUAACCCCCAUCUGGUCCGACUCUAGCAUGGAAAUAAUUGUAGUUAUCAAAUAUAUAAAAUUGCAUGCCACUGGCUACUGCUGCUAAGUGCCUGAUUCUUCUCAGUCACCAGUCUUUCAUGUUCUGAGAUUGUUUUUUUUUCUUGGAUGCUAAGAACAGGAUCACUGGUGUGUGUGUUUUUUGUUUUUCUUGUUACAUUAUUAUUUACGGAGCUGUUAAACAUUAAGAUUAAAGCAAAAUUCACAUCUUAGUGGCACACCAAUAAUUGGCUCAUCCAGCAUUUUGCUGCCUGUUUACUGAGCUAGCCCCAUGUGAUUUCCAUGCCUGUUCCUACCAGAGCAAGAUUCAUCUGAGGUUUUGAAAGCCAGCCAGGAGAGUGUGGCCACAGAGCUUCCACAUGUUGAAUUGUGCGGCUAGAUAAAGCAAACGCUAGCCCACAAGGUCGAUGGCACUUCAGUCAAGUGGAUGCUUAUGCAGAGCCUCAGCGACUGGAAGGCAGCUUCCAGGCUGGCCCUACAUUGAGUAAGUUAUCAGUUUUAGGUAGGAUUGAGGCCUAGUGGCUUGGAAAAUCACUGCUUUCACUUGCUGGAGCCAGCUGCAUUGUUUCAAUUUAAAAAAAAUCACAUCAUUGCAGGUUUUGUAGAGUACCUUGGUCACAAAUAAAGUUAAGGGGAUGCAGAUCUCUACA
rnacentral:lncRNA from 1 species